GAUUCUGGCUCAGAACGAACGCUGGCGGCAUGGAUUAGGCAUGCAAGUCGAACGGGAGCAGCAAUGCUCCAGUGGCGCAAGGGUGAGGAACACGUGAACAACCUGCCUUCGAGUUGGGGAUAGCUUCUGGAAACGGGAGAUAAUACCGAAUAACAUCACCGGACCGCAUGGUCUGGUGAUCAAAGCAGCAAUGCGCUUGAAGAGGGGUUCGCGUCCCAUUAGCUAGUUGGUGAGGUAACGGCCCACCAAGGCGAUGAUGGGUAGCUGGUCUGAGAGGACGAUCAGCCACAUUGGGACUGAGAUACUGCCCAGACUCCUACGGGAGGCUGCAGUCGAGUAAUUUUGGGCAAUGGACGAAAGUCUGAACCCCCAGCAAUGCCGCGUGCGGGAUGAAGGUCUUCGGAUUGUAAACCGCUGUCAAGAGGGACGAAACAUGACGGUACCUCUGGAGGAAGCCACGGCUAACUACGUGCCAGCCGCCGC
rnacentral:rRNA from 1 species